UGGGGCACUGUGUGUACCAAGGCAGUCUGGUUUGGAAGCUCCCAUAUCUGAUGCCUGGCUCAGAAUUUCAGUUAAGACAGAAAACUGAAGUUUGAAACAUGGCCUGAUAAAAUUCACUCAGUGUCUAGAAGUCUGCCCGAAGUGAAGGCUACUCCAGGUAUCAUCAAGUCCCCUCCUGACUCAAGCAAGUAAGGCUACAGAGGGCAGCUGUGCUCUGCCGGAAGGUCAGCUGUGGAGCAGGAAAAGACCCAGAAACUCCGCUCUCCUCUUGCUGGGCACGCUGGCCUGACCUGCACUCAGCAGCCGCAGCCUUCCACGACAGCUUCCUUGGGGCCCAGAUAUUGUUCUCAUAGCUUCAGACCCUGAAAUACUAUAUAUCAGCAGCAUUUUCUAAUUAUAAAAGAGUAUCCAGAAGAAUAUUCAGAAG
rnacentral:lncRNA from 1 species